rnacentral:tRNA from 1 species
GAGGGGGGCAAGAGCAUGCAGGACUGCUAACCCUCCACCCUGUAGUCAAAUCCCACAGACCCU